rnacentral:piRNA from 1 species
CUCACUCUACUAGUUCACUGGAGAGCUGGU